rnacentral:rRNA from 1 species
GUGGCUUCCGGAGCUAACGCGUUAAGUCGACCGCCUGGGGAGUACGGCCGCAAGGUUAAAACUCAAAUGAAUUGACGGGGGCCCGCACAAGCGGUGGAGCAUGUGGUUUAAUUCGAUGCAACGCGAAGAACCUUACCUACUCUUGACAUCCAGAGAACUUAGCAGAGAUGCUUUGGUGCCUUCGGGAACUCUGAGACAGGUGCUGCAUGGCUGUCGUCAGCUCGUGUUGUGAAAUGUUGGGUUAAGUCCCGCAACGAGCGCAACCCUUAUCCUUUGUUGCCAGCGGUUCGGCCGGGAACUCAAAGGAGACUGCCAGUGAUAAACUGGAGGAAGGUGGGGAUGACGUCAAGUCAUCAUGGCCCUUACGAGUAGGGCUACACACGUGCUACAAUGGCAUAUACAAAGAGAAGCGACCUCGCGAGAGCAAGCGGACCUCAUAAAGUAUGUCGUAGUCCGGAUUGGAGUCUGCAACUCGACUCCAUGAAGUCGGAAUCGCUAGUAAUCGUAGAUCAGAAUGCUACGGUGAAUACGUUCCCGGGCCUUGUACACACCGCCCGUCACACCAUGGGAGUGGGUUGCAAAAGAAGUAGGUAGCUUAACCUUCGGGAGGGCGCUUACCACUUUGUGAUUCAUGACUGGGGUGAAGUCGUAACAAGGUAACCGUAGGGGAACCUGCGGUUG